rnacentral:rRNA from 1 species
GAUCAUUAUUGAAAUAAACUGAUGGGUUGCUGCUGGCUCUCUAGGGAGCAUUGUGCACACUUGUCAUCUUUAUAUCUCCACCUGUGCACCUUUUGUAGACCUGGAUAUCUUUCUGAAUGCCCUGCAUUUCAGGUUUGAGCAUCGACUUUCAAGUCCUUGCUUACAUUUUCAGGCCUAUGUGUUUUCAUAUACCCCCAAUGUAUGUUAUAGAAUGUAAUAAAACAGGCCUUUUGUGCCUAUAAAAUCCAUACAACUUUCAGCAACGGAUCUCUUGGCUCUCGCAUCGAUGAAGAACGCAGCGAAAUGCGAUAAGUAAUGUGAAUUGCAGAAUUCAGUGAAUCAUCGAAUCUUUGAACGCACCUUGCGCUCCUUGGUAUUCCGAGGAGCAUGCCUGUUUGAGUGUCAUUAAUAUAUCAACCUCAUCAACUUUUGCUUGUUGGGUGUUGGAUCUGGGGGUAUUUUUGCUGGCUUCUCUUCCUGAGGUCAGCUCCCCUAAAAUGCAUUAGCGGAACAAUUUGUUGACCGUUCAUUGGUGUGAUAACUAUCUACGCUAUUGACGUGAGGCAGGUUCAGCUUCUAAUAGUCCAUUGACUUGGACAAAUUUUCAUUAAUGUGACCUCAAAUCAUGUA